AAAAAAAAAAAGAACUUACAUACACACACACAAUAGUACUACAAUUUUUUUACAUAACCAAGAAGCUCAAACUAGUCAUGUGUCAAACAGUAGCAGCAGCAGCCAGUUUCUUGAAUACAGGAUUGGCUUGAUACAAAACAAGAGGGUCAAGAUACAUUGAGCACAACGUAUACCUGAUGUAACCAAAAGAGAGACGCAUCGCCAUGCAAUUGCUUGCCACCGCGCCUUACAGAUAAGAAAAGGAAAUGCUCAAGAGGGGUUAAUAUGACAGGAACAAUGAACAAAAAAAGAUCAUGAAAGUGAGAUUUGGGACCCAAAUUCGCCACCAAGCGUGCACUAGAACUUUUCCAGGGUCCUACUGAGGUAACAUAUCACCUUGUAUCGUUCACACAGACAACGAACAAUUAUGUAGGCAAGCUAAACACAUUUCCAAAGGGCAGAAUCAACUUUUUUUUUCUCUUGGGGGUCAAGAUGUGAACUCAUGAUUUACCACCCUUUAUGGAAGCAUGACAAGAAGUUCCCUCCUUAUCUAAAAAGAAGACAUGACCACUGAUUUUCAAAGCCAUAGCCAAUGGUUAUCAACAAGAAUGAUGGAAUAAAGACUCUAAAAGGGAUUCUCCAAUCUGGUUUACUUUGUUUAUGGCGUAUUCUGAUCAGCCACGCAUUGCCAUACCUCCAUUUAAACUCUAAUUCAGCUUUAUUUAAUUAUAACCUUUAAAUACGUACUUCCAACCAGCGAGAAGCUACAAGAAAAAUACCAUUAGUAACUCAAUAUGAUGACCAGUGGCAAGCUGAAGCUCAAAGAGAAUCAAGUCCUAGGGACUUGGCUUUCAUCUUCAGGGAUCUCAAGUAAUGGAUUGCUUCAUCAAUAACAACCAUUGAGUCUUUUCCUUUCCCUCCGGGGAUUAUUUCCUGCAAAAUGCUUAUUGUCUCGCGGAUUUUAUCUUUUCUUAGCCUCUUUUUCCCAGAUGGAGAAUCUGGUGCUCCUGAGUCUUGUUCGAGACCAUUGCCACAACUGGAUUGUGCAUCAUCCUCUAAGUCGGAGCACGUAUAGGCUUUUGCGGAGGUUGCAGUAUCCCUGAGCUCUGGUGCAUCGUAGCUACCAUCUAGCAGUUUAUGCCUUUUAGUCACCCCAGCAGAACUAGCAACUUCUUCACCCCUUCCGUCAAAACACUCGCGCAUAUCAUGAGUGGUCAUAGUACUAGGCGAGUGACCAGUGCUUGUUUCUUCAUCAUCCUCGGAAUAAUUGUAAUCAUCAUCAGAGUAGAGUAGGGCAUUCAGUUCUUCAGUAUCCUCAUGCAUUUCACUUUCAACAUCAUCUCUGUUGUUUUCUUCAUAAUAUUCAUCACCGAAGAAAUGCCCAAAUGGAGAAGUUUCAUUUCUUUUGAUCUCUGGAUCUUCCUUAUAAAGGGCUGGGGCUUUUGGAUUCAGAGAAGCCGGGCAUUGUACGUGAGUACCAUUAGCAGAAUUAUAGAUCAAAGUUGUCUGAUCACCAGAUUGAUCAAACACAAGGAAUCUCUUCUGAGUAGAUGUGGUGCCUCCAUUAGGAUGUUUGCUACCUUCCAGAUUUUCAAGUGCUCUAGGAGCUAACUUCUCUUUAGGUAAAGUGGUCGAAACAGGAUUAAAGCCCUGAUAAAACAGAGGCGAAUAAUAUAACCAAUUGCAAGUUUCUGCUGGCCAGCUUGCAUUUGACACUGGCAGACCAGGAAAUGUGAAAUAUGGAGAAUCCCCAUUUAAAGGAAUCUCAUUUGACUGAGGAGUCAUGUAAGUAGGAAAAGAAUUCUGCUGCCCUAUAUCAAAUCGUGGAUAAGAAAAAUUCAAAUGGGCUGACUGCAGAUCUGAAUGUUGGUGAUGGAAUGAAGAGACCAAGUCUUUUUCCAUUCAACCUUAACAAUCACCAGUUUGAAACAACUGUGAAACUACAAAUUGCUGAUUAUUUCUUGCACUCUUGCUAAAUAAAGAAAAACUAAAAACUCCAGCUUAACUUGAACGCGGUAAAGAAAGAUCGAUCUACGUGACAGGUUUAAGCAAA
rnacentral:misc_RNA from 1 species